rnacentral:rRNA from 1 species
AUUGAACGCUGGCGGCAUGCCUUACACAUGCAAGUCGAACGGUAACAGGUCUUCGGAUGCUGACGAGUGGCGAACGGGUGAGUAAUACAUCGGAACGUGCCUAGUAGUGGGGGAUAACUACUCGAAAGAGUGGCUAAUACCGCGUGAGAUCUACGGAUGAAAGCAGGGGAUCGCAAGACCUUGUGCUACUAGAGCGGCCGAGGGCAGAUUAGGUAGUUGGUGGGAUAAAAGCUUACCAAGCCGACGAUCUGUAGCUGGUCUGAGAGGACGAUCAGCCACACUGGGACUGAGACACGGCCCAGACUACUACGGGAGGCAGCAGGGGGGAAUUUUGGACAAUGGGCGCAAGCCUGAUCCAGCAAUGCCGCGUGCAGGAUGAAGGCCUUCGGGUUGUAAACUGCUUUUGUACGGAACGAAAAGCCCUGGGUUAAUACCCUGGGGUCAUGACGGUACCGUAAGAAUAAGCACCGGCUAACUACGUGCCAGCCGCCGCCGUAACAC